AACGUAGGACACGAGCGUUAUCCGGAGUUACUGGGCGUAAAGGGCGGGUAGGUGGUGCGAUAAGACUGGUGUGAAAGCCUUCGGCUUAACCGAGGGAGGACACUGGUGACUGUCGGACUUGAGGCAGAUAGAGGGGUGUAGAAUUCCGGGUGUAGUGGUGGAAAUGCGCAGAUAUCAGGAGGAACACCGGUGGCGAAGGCGGGUCUCUGGGCCGAUACUGACGCUGGAGGAGCGAAAGCGUGGGGAGCGAACAGG
rnacentral:rRNA from 1 species